rnacentral:rRNA from 1 species
UGGUCAAGUUAUUAAGGGUGCAGGGCGGAUGCCUUGGCACUAGGAGCCGAUGAAGGACGUGAUAAGCUGCGAUAAGCUUCGGGGAGUUGCACGUAAACUUUGAUCCGAAGAUUUCCGAAUGAGGAAACUCACUUAGAGUAAUGUCUAAGUAUCAUUAAGUGAAUACAUAGCUUAAUGAGGGGAACUCAGGGAACUGAAACAUCUAAGUACCUGAAGGAAGAGAAAGAAAUUCGAUUCCGUAAGUAGCGGCGAGCGAACGCGGAUUAGCCCAAACCAAUAAAGUUUUCUUUAUUGGGGUUGCGGACAUAUCAUAACGAAGAGGUAUCGUAAUUGAAGAGGUUUGGAAAGACCCACCACAGAAGGUAAUAGUCCUGUAUGUUAAACGAGAAGACUUUAGAUAUGAUCCAGAGUACCACGGGACACGUGAAACCCUGUGGGAAGCAGGAGGGACCACCCUCCAAGGCUAAAUACUACCUAGUGACCGAUAGCGUAUAGUACCGUGAGGGAAAGGUGAAAAGAACCCCGGGAGGGGAGUGAAAUAGAACCUGAAACCCUGCACUUACAAGCUGUGGAAGCACAUUUCUUGUGUGACCGCGUACUUUUUGUAGAACGGGCCAACGAGUUACGUUAAGUAGCAAGGUUAAGCACUUAAGGUGCGGAGCCGUAGCGAAAGCGAGUUUUAACUGAGCGUUCAGUUACUUGACGUAGACCCGAAACCGGGCGACCUACCCAUGAGCAGGAUGAAGCGAAAGUAAAAUUUCGUGGAGGUCCGAACCCACGAGCGUUGAAAAGCUCGGGGAUGACUUGUGGGUAGCGGUGAAAUUCCAAUCGAGCCCGGAGAUAGCUGGUUCUCCCCGAAAUAGCUUUAGGGCUAGCCUCAAGGUGAGAGAUACGGAGGUAGAGCACUGAAUGUCCUAGGGGGUAUUGCACCUACCGAAGACUAUCAAACUCCGAAUGCCGUCAUCUUAUACUUGGGAGUCAGACUGUGGGUGAUAAGAUUCAUAGUCGAAAGGGCAACAGCCCAGAUCGUCAGCUAAGGUCCCUAAAUGUAAGUUAAGUGGUAAAGGAUGUGGGAUUGCACAGACAACCAGGAUGUUGGCUUAGAAGCAGCCACUCAUUCAAAGAGUGCGUAAUAGCUCACUGGUCGAGUGAUCCUGCGCCGAAGAUUUCCGGGGCUAAAACUUACUACCGAAGCUACGGCAUCAGUAAUGAUGGGUAGGGGAGCUUCCCAUACGGGUUGAAGCAUGACCGUAAGGACAUGUGGACAGUAUGGGAGUGAGAAUGUUGGCAUGAGUAGCGAGAUGUGGGUGAGAAUCCCACAGGCCGUAAACCCAAGGUUUCCAGGGGAAGGUUCGUCCGCCCUGGGUUAGUCGGGACCUAAGCUGAGGCCGAAAGGCGUAGGUGAUGGACAACAGGUUGAUAUUCCUGUACUACCGAUAACCGUUUGAGAGAAGGGAUGACACAGUAGGAUAAGCUAAGCACACUGUUGGUUAUGUGUGCCCAAGCAUUGAGGCAGUCAAAGUAGGCAAAUCCGCUUUGAUAAUGCUGGGAUGUGAUGGGGAGCGAAAUUUAGUAGCGAAGUAGCUGAUUUCACACUGUCAAGAAAAGUCUCUAUCGAGGUUAAAGGUACCCGUACCGCAAACCGACACAGGUGGGUGAGGAGAGUAUCCUAAGGCCAGCGAGAGAACUGUUGUUAAGGAACUCGGCAAAAUGACCCCGUAACUUAGGGAUAAGGGGUGCCACCAUCAGGUGGCCGCAGAGAAUAGGCCCAAGCGACUGUUUACCAAAAACAUAGGUUUCUGCUAAGUCGCAAGACGAUGUAUAGGAGCUGACGCCUGCCCGGUGCUGGAAGGUUAAGGGGAUCUGUUAGAGCAAUCGAAGCAGUGAACUUAAGCCCCAGUAAACGGCGGCCGUAACUAUAACGGUCCUAAGGUAGCGAAAUUCCUUGUCGGGUAAGUUCCGACCCGCACGAAAGGCGUAACGAUUUGGGCACUGUCUCAACAACAGACUCGGUGAAAUUGUAAUUCCGGUGAAGAUGCCGGAUACCUGCGACAGGACGGAAAGACCCCAUGGAGCUUUACUGUAGCUUGACAUUGGGUCUUGGUACUACAUGUACAGGAUAGGUGGGAGGCUUUGAAACCAGGACGCCAGUUUUGGCGGAGCCAUCCUUGGGAUACCACCCUUGUAGUACUGGGACUCUAACCAUAGGCCAUGAAUCUGGUCUUGGGACACUGUCAGGUGGGCAGUUUGACUGGGGCGGUCGCCUCCCAAAAGGUAACGGAGGCGCUCAAAGGUUCUCUCAGUACGGUCGGAAAUCGUACGUAGAGUGUAAAGGCAAAGAGAGCUUGAUUGCAAGACAUACAGGUCGAGCAAGGAUGAAAAUCGGACUUAGUGAUCCGGUGGUUCUGCGUGGAAGGGCCAUCGCUCAACGGAUAAAAGCUACCCUGGGGAUAACAGGCUUAUCUCCCCCAAGAGUCCACAUCGACGGGGAGGUUUGGCACCUCGAUGUCGGCUCAUCACAUCCUGGGGCUGUAGUAGGUCCCAAGGGUUGGGCUGUUCGCCCAUUAAAGUGGUACGCGAGCUGGGUUCAGAACGUCGUGAGACAGUUCGGUCCCUAUCCGUCGCAGGCGUAGGAAAUUUGAGAAGACCUGUCCUUAGUACGAGAGGACCGGGAUGGACGUACCUCUGGUGUACCAGUUGUUCUGCCAAGGGCAUGGCUGGGUAGCUAUGUACGGAAUGGAUAAGCGCUGAAAGCAUCUAAGCGCGAAGCCAACUUCAAGAUAAGAUUUCCCACCGCAAGGGUAAGACCCCAGAAAGACUAUCUGGUUGAUAGGUCGAAGGUGUAAGUGCAGCAAUGUAUUUAGCUUAUCGAUACUAAUAGGUCGAGGACUUGACCAAU